rnacentral:rRNA from 1 species
AUUGAACGCUGGCGGCAGGCCUAACACAUGCAAGUCGAGCGAGGGGCGGACGGGUGAGUAAUAUAUGGGAACUUGCCCGGUGGCGGGGGAUAACUACUGGAAACGGUGGCUAAUACCGCAUACUAUUGGAUCAACCCAUAUGGGAUUAGCUAGUAGGUGGGGUAAAGGCUCACCAAGGCAACGAUCCCUAGCUGGUGUGAGAGGAUGAUCAGCCACACUGUGACUGAGACACGGCCCAGACUCCGACGUGAGGCAGCAGUGGGGAAUUUUGGACAAUGGGGGCAAGCCUGAUCCAGCCAUGCCGCGUGUAUGAUGAGGGCCUUCGGGUUGUAAAGUACUUUUAGCAGGGAAGCGUUACCUGCAGAAUAAGCACCGGCUAACUCCGUGCCAGCAGCCGCGGUAAUAC